UUUAAAAAAAUUAUACAAAGUAUUUUCCUAAAAGCUCUAUUUUCCUGAAGAUAAUUCAGAAGAUGUUGUAGCCACAGAAUCAGAGUUAUGUGUCCAGUAAGAGUGAUGAUCUGAAGUGGGGAAAGCCCAGGACAAAAGACCUGAUAGAAGACCUGGAAAACCAGAAGUCUGAACAAAGGUAACCUUUUCUACUCUGACAGGUGGCUUCCAAGACUCUUAUCUUUGGAAGAGAUUUUCAUCAAAACAUCUAGAUAUAUGCCAUCAGCACUUGCCAAACACCAGGAGCAAAAGGCAACACAAUGAAGAAAAGAGAGUCUUCAACAAAUGGUGCUGGAACAGCUGAGUAUCCACAUGCAAAAAAAAAGGAAUCUAGACACAAAUCUUACACGUUUCACAAAAAUUAACUCAAAUGGAUCACAGAUCUAAACGUAAAACACAAAACUAUAAAACUCCUAGAAGAUAACAACACAGGAGAAGAUCUAGAUGACCUUGGGUUUGGCAAUGACUUCUCAGAAACACCAAAGGCAUGAACCAGGAAAGAAUCAAUUGAUAAGCUGGACUUGAUUAAAAGUAAAAAUGUCUGCUCUGCAACAGUCAGGAGAAUGCGAAGACAAACCACAGAUGGGGAGAAAAUGUUUGCAAAAGGCAUAUCUGAUAAAGGACUAUAUUAUCCAAAAUAUAGCACAGAACUCUUAAAACUCAACAAGAAAACGAACAUGCCAAUUAAAAAACAGGCAAAAGACCUUAACAGACACCUCACCUCAUCAGAUAUACAAAUGACAAAGGAGCAUAUGAAAAGGUGCUCCACAUCAUUUGUCAUCAGUGGAAUGCAAAUUAAAAUAAAAAUAAGGUAUCACCACACACCUUUUAGAACGGCAAAAUCCAGAACACUGACAACACCAAACGCUGGUGGACAUGUGGAGCAAUGGGAACUCUCAUUCAUUGCUGGUGGGAAUGCAAAAUGGUACAGCCACUUGGAAGGCAGUUUGACAGUUUAUUCAAAACUAAACGUAUUCUUACCAUAAGAUCCAGAAAUCAUGCUCCCCGGUAUUUACCCAAAGGAGGUGAAAACUUAUGUCCACACAAAAACCUGCACAUAGAUGAUUACAGCAGCUUUAUUCAUAAUUCCCAAGACAUGGCAGCAACUAAGAUGUCUUCCUAUAGUGAACAGGUAAACUGUGAUACAUUCAUACAAUGGAAUAUAAUACAGAAAUUUUAAAAAAUGAGCUAUCAAGCCACAAAAACAUAUGAAGAAAACUUAAAUACAUACUGCUAAGUGAAAGAAGCCAGUCUGAAAAGGCUACAUACUGUAUGAUUCCAACUAUAUGACAUUCUGGAAAAGGCAAAGCUAUGGAGGCAGUAAAAAGAUCAGUAUUUGCCAGAGACUGGGCAGGGAGGGGAUGAAUAGGUGGAUCACAAAGGAUUUUUAGGGCAGUGAAACUAUCCUGUACGCUACAGUUGUGAGUACAUAUCAUUAUACAUUUGUCAGAACUCAUAUAAUAUAUAGCACUAAGAGAGAACCAUUAAUGUAAACCAUGGACUUUGGGUGAUAAUAAUGGGGCAGGGUGAAUACAAGAAAUCUCUGUAUCUUCUGUUCACUUCUGCUGUGAAUCUAA